AGUUAACGCUGGCGGUAGGCCUAACACAUGCAAGUCGAACGGCAGCACAGUAAGAGCUUGCUCUUACGGGUGGCGAGUGGCGGACGGGUGAGGAAUACAUCGGAAUCUACUUUUUCGUGGGGGAUAACGUAGGGAAACUUACGCUAAUACCGCAUACGACCUACGGGUGAAAGCAGGGGAUCUUCGGACCUUGCGCGAUUGAAUGAGCCGAUGUCGGAUUAGCUAGUUGGCGGGGUAAAGGCCCACCAAGGCGACGAUCCGUAGCUGGUCUGAGAGGAUGAUCAGCCACACGGGAACUGAGACACGGUCCAGACUCCUACGGGAGGAAGCAGUGGGGAAUAUUGGACAAUGGGCGCAAGCCUGAUCCAGCCAUACCGCGUGGGUGAAGAAGGCCUUCGGGUUGUAAAGCCCUUUUGUUGGGAAAGAAAAGCAGCAGGUUAAUACCCCGCUGUUCUGACGGUACCCAAAGAAUAAGCACCGGCUAACUUCGUG
rnacentral:rRNA from 1 species